rnacentral:rRNA from 1 species
CCUACGGGAGGCUGCAGUGAGGAAUAUUGGUCAAUGGACGAGAGUCUGAACCAGCCAAGUAGCGUGAAGGAUGACUGUCCUAUGGGUUGUAAACUUCUUUUAUAUGGGAAUAAAAUGUUCCACGUGUGGGAUUUUGUAUGUACCAUAUGAAUAAGGAUCGGCUAACUCCGUGCCAGCAGCCGCGGUAAUACGGAGGAUCCGAGCGUUAUCCGGAUUUAUUGGGUUUAAAGGGAGCGUAGGUGGAUUGUUAAGUCAGUUGUGAAAGUUUGCGGCUCAACCGUAGAAGUGCAGUUGAAACUGGCAGUCUUGAGUACAGUAGAGGUGGGCGGAAUGCGUGGUGUAGCGGUGAAAUGCUUAGAUAUCACGAAGAACUCCGAUUGCGAAGGCAGUUCACUGGACUGCAACUGACACUGAGGCUCGAAAGUGUGGGUAUCAAACAGGAUUAGAUACCCUUGUAGUC